UCACGUAAACCUCUCUUUUCACGAUUUUUCCAAUUGGAAUCUUGGGGAUUCUUUUGGCUACAGUAUUCUUCUUUCUCUCUAGCAAUUUUUUUUUGCUCUGGGUUUUACUGUUCAUUUGCUACAUAGAUUUUAAUAUUUUUUAGCCAUCCCUUUUGGUUCCAAGAAUUUUUGCCAAUUCCCGCUUCUCAAUAUUUUGGUUGUGCUCUUGUUUUCGUGUAAUCAGGAUCUUAAGGGGGUAAGUACUGUUGUUUAGGUUUUAAUCAAUUGUUUUCGGGAAUUUUCUACACUCUUAUGAAUGGAUACUUUCUUAAUCUUUCUGUACUUGUGUAAAUUGAGUUUUCAGCUCGGUUUGGUGUAGACGAAUCGGUCGAUCUUUGGGCUAGGAAUCGUGUUUUUAAAGUGUGAGUUCUAAUCAUUUGUGAUCAGUGUGUGUGUGAGACUUCGUUAAAUGUUUUCGUACGUGUGUGCGCGCGCUGCACUUAAGCCAUAUUUUACUGUCCUUUCUACGCUAAUAGGCGGUUGGUACCUAGUCAUAUUUGUACACUUGCUUCUCCCUUCACAUUGAGUGUCUUCAUUGUAAUUAGAAUAAUGCUACUUCUUAUUGUUAGUUGCUGGCAAUUGGUUUUACAGAUAAUUUCCCAUAUUAUAUGCUUGUGGUCAUGGGAAAUGGAUCAAAUUUGUUGACCUUGCAGUUGAUUUUUUGCUACAUUUGAAUGUUCUUCCGUUAAAAUGAUUCAUCGACUUAGGCAAGAGCAGGAUUUGUCAAUUAGUAGCUAUGGCAGUUUUGAAAUCUGAAAUUGAAAAAAAAAUGUAUGCAAUUAGUGCAGAUUUUCUAGGCUGUACUAAUUUUUUUUUUGAUAGAUGAAUAUAUAGUUGCUAAUGUUGAUGGUAUUAAGUUUCUAAUUUUGAUGGAAUUACCUCUUAUAUAUUAUAAUUGCUAUUGCUUGUUUCUAUAUUUUGUUUACUGCUAUUCGUUUUACAUGCAAGUGUCGCAUAUAUAUAUACAUAAAUGGCUGCUGGUUUUUACGUAGAAAUGUUGCAUAUAUGCUGUGUUUUUUUUUUGUCUGUGUGGUCUUGUUUUUGUGGAUUUUUUUCACCUUUUUCCAAUUUAAUUUGUUUUAGUCUCGGAAAGAUCCCAUGCACGUUUAAGCCUCUAUAGGAGUAUCUGCGACACUAAUUCUGUUUGAAUUUACUUAUGCAAAUUAAAUUAUGUGUCAUGAGUUCUGUCAUUUGUAUAGAUGAUUAUGUGAUGUGGUAUGUUAAAAUUCGCAAUAUGAAAGAGUUGAAUGUGAUAAUCGGAAAAUUUAGCACUGUUUAUUCUGGUAUUGUAGUUGAGCCAGGAAAUGUCUGAUUUGAUAUUUGAUAUGUAUUUAUAAGUAUCUGUUUUGAGAGAAUUUUUCAUAUGCAUUGUGGUUGGGAUUGACAUUGAAGAGAAGGAAGUUUGGUUCAGCAGUUUCACUGCAAAACUAUAUUUUCGCAGUAUAACCGCAAUAAUAAAAGUGGCAUAUGACCACAUUACGUUGUGUUCGGAUGGAUGGGUACUCCAUAAACCAAAUAUUGGUGUGUAGAGGUUGGAAAUGGUUUAGUACACCCUAUUUUGGUGUGUGAUGGAUGGUUGAAGGUGGUGUGUAGAGAUUGGAUAGGUGGGAUACUGCAUCACAUGAUAUGAAAUUGUGUUGUACAUAUUUGCUUUGCGUCACAAUAAUAUGUUAUGUUAAAUUUGUUAUGAUUUUUAUCUGUGUUUUUAUUAUGGUAUUGUUAAAAGUUGAUCGAUCAUUUAUUGUCACAUCGACUACUUCUGUUUAAGACUCAAACCGAGCUGGACUUGGCAAGUCGGAGGUCUCAGAAUGAUAUGUUUGGUUCGACUUAUUAAAGUCUUGCAUAAUUUUUUUUAAUAAAUUGUUCGGACUGUACAUGAAUUCUUUUUAUGAAUUGUGGUAUGAAUUUCAACUUUGGACUAUCAUUAAGGUUUUAGGAUUUUGGUUUUGAACUUAAACUGUGAUUUCGCACAUGUUUUUCCCUAACUGCACUACUUCUUUUCCUUAUCUAUUAAUUGUUCAGUUUUCAAGUGUUAAUUUAUGGAUUUUAAAUUUUUCCGUCACAAAUUUUUGGUUUUGUUGAACUUCGGUUAGCGAAAUUAUUAAUCUAAUUUUGUUUUCAAGGUUAUUACGAGUAAUUGAAUUUGGUUUUGGACAAAUUUUGAGUGAUAAAUUGAUUUAAUGUGUUUGCAAAAUUAUAAACAAAGCUCAAUUAAGUUUUUGGUAAAAUAAGAGAAAAUAUGGGUUUUCGUAAGGUUUUUGACAAAUUUAUUUGGUGUUUAAUAGAGGGCCAUAUUUCAUUGGCCAACUUAACCUCCGGAAUCUGGUCAAAACUUCUGGGCCAAGCUUUGGGGGUUAUAGAUUUUAUGUUGAUUUUUGGAUUGAAUAUGGUAGAUCUCGUAUUUCUUGGCUAAGCUUUGGUUAUAAAGUGAUUUAUAACCCAUUUUGAUAUAAUUAAAAGGUAUUUGAUUUUAAUUUACUACCCUUAAUGAAUGUAAGCAAAUUGAAUGUUUUCCCCUAUUUAAAGAUCACUUAAGCUUGAUUUUUUCGAACAAAUUAGACCAGUGUAAUUGGGUAAAAUUGAUUAUUUAGAUAUGUAAUUAGAUGAUAUUUAGGAUGUUUGGAAUCGAAAUUAAGGUUUAGAAACUAGAUUUGAGUGGUGAAAUUGCAUUUUCGGCAAAACUAGUUAGUUUCUGAUAAGUAUGAUAGAUGUGUUGUGGUAUGCAUUUUUUAGAUGAUUUAAAUGUGUCUGAGGUUGUUUAUAAUAUGUUUGUAAUGUAUUUAAUGUGUAUACAAAGUUUUAGACUCAUUGGGAGAUUCUACAAGCAAGGACAAAGGCAAACAAUGGCUUAUUUAAAGUCAAGAUUGUAAGGUAAGUGGUUUGGUGCGCUACAAUUAAUCACAAAUCAAAAUCCAUGUUGCCAAUACACCCCUAAUCGGUGGGCCCCACUUAUUACGCCUCUAAUCUGUUGUUUGGUUCAAUGUAUUGCUAUUACGGGGCUAAACCAUUACUGACCUAAUCGGUGAAAUCCACCGAUUUCUAAUCCCUCCCUUUUGCUCAGUUUAGAUGCUGCUUCAGUUUACCCUCCCUGUUUUACCCUCCCAGUCUUCUUCUUUCAGCUCCCUCUUUGAACAAGUCUUUAACACCCAUUUCCCCAUUUCCCGUUUCCCCUUUUUCCCAAAUUAGAAUCUCUAACCCCGUGCCCGACUGCCCUCCUCCCUUUUUUCCUCAAUUCGAAAAUCAACCUUCACCUCCGGCACCAAUCCACCUCCACCGAUCCACCUCCGGUCCUUCACAGCUCCACCCAUUUCCAGAAUCAGAAGUUAGAGCGAAGCUACAAACGUCUUCUACCUUUGAAUUUCAAAGCCUAUAUCAGUUACAGAUGAAGAAAUUACCGAGAUGGUAUUGUUUCCAACGAUUAACGAGGCAUGUCGUGUUUUGGAUGAGGGUGUCGUUGCUCGAGCAUCAGACCUUGAUGUUGCAUCUGUACUCGGAAUGAGCUUCCCAUCCUACUGUGGUGGUAUCAUGUUCUGGGCAGAUACAGUUGGGUCGAAGCAUAUCUAUUUGAGCCUCAAGAAAUGGUCAGAAAGGUACGAUAGCUACUUUAAACCAUCGAGAUAUUUGGAAGAAAGAGCCAUGAAAGGCAUGCCAUUGUCAAAACAGAGGGUUCUUUUGCUUGUUGAAAUUUGAUGGACAUUACCUUUAGGUGAUGCUCACAGUGGAGAAUGAAAUUCCUGUAGCAACAAAAGGUGUGGUUAUGAUAAAAGCACAAAAGAACAUCACUGAUCAGAAGCUAAAAGACUUAAAAGCAAAGAAAAUUUCCCAAUGUUUAGAUUAUGCUUAUAUCUGUAUGGAAAUUGUUUGGUCAGGUGAAUGAGACUGCCGUUAUACAUUGCGGUUUUUAUAGUGAAAAUGGUGGUUUUAAAAUAUCUGAUGAAGACAAAAGUUAUAUGCAAAGUUGCAAAGUUGCAAAGUUGCGGUUUCUACUUGUGCGUUUGGUGGUGGAGAUGAUCUUUAUCAACCUAAAGGAAUGUCAGAGGCAUCACUUAAAAAGAUUGUACAGCAGAUCCAGAAUAUGAUGACUCAUGACAAAAGCGAUCGGGAAACGGUUUUGGUUCGUCGCAUGCUCCAGGACGGGUUACUUGAUGUUGUUUGUUUGAAGCAUUAGGGAGAUGCUGUUGGUUUAUGGAAUGCCAUAGGUUUUGUAAAACUUUGAGGAGUGUGGAAGUGUUAAAGUUAUUCAAAAUUAACAAGCUCACUAUAAAGCAUCAAAUUUAUAUUAGAUUCCCAUAAUAUACUUGCUGCAUAAAUUCCUUUGAUUUCCAUAA